CUCCCGAAGAAAGGCUCCGCCGAAGAGUUAAAAGUCUAUGCAUGUACUGCGCAAAUCCGUUACAUACUGUGCAAGAUUGUCCUUUACUUCAAAAAUCUAAAAGAAUGGCACCAAAGACAACUGAAGGUUGAAGGCAUUAUUGAUUCUGGGGCAUAUGGAAACUUCAUUGAUUACCACACUGCUGUUUCUAAUAAAAUUCCUUUGAUUUGCAAACCAAAA